rnacentral:rRNA from 1 species
UUGCUCUGUGGAUCAGUGGCGAACGGGUGAGUAACACGUGAGCAACCUGCCCCGGACUCUGGGAUAAGCGCUGGAAACGGCGUCUAAUACCGGAUACGAGACAAGACGGCAUCGUCAUUGUCUGGAAAGAUUUUUUGGUCUGGGAUGGGCUCGCGGCCUAUCAGCUUGUUGGUGAGGUAAUGGCUCACCAAGGCGUCGACGGGUAGCCGGCCUGAGAGGGUGACCGGCCACACUGGGACUGAGACACGGCCCAGACUCCUACGGGAGGCAGCAGUGGGGAAUAUUGCACAAUGGGCGAAAGCCUGAUGCAGCAACGCCGCGUGAGGGAUGACGGCCUUCGGGUUGUAAACCUCUUUUAGCAGGGAAGAAGCGAAAGUGACGGUACCUGCAGAAAAAGCGCCGGCUAACUACGUGCCAGCAGCCGCGGUAAUACGUAGGGCGCAAGCGUUAUCCGGAAUUAUUGGGCGUAAAGAGCUCGUAGGCGGUUUGUCGCGUCUGCUGUGAAAUCCCGAGGCUCAACCUCGGGCCUGCAGUGGGUACGGGCAGACUAGAGUGCGGUA